UCUUUCCGUCACCGCCCUUGAAAGAAACCUAACAGACUCCCACAAUCAAACCAGGAGUGAAUAUAGCAAAUGAAAGGGUCGAAACAAUUAUAGAUGAAAUUAAUUGGAUGAGGGAGAGAAAGAGAUGAGAUCAGUUGUAUUAAUUUAGGUCAUGUGAAGAGGUUUCAGGUAUGAUUUUGGUAAUCAAGAAUUACGCAUCUUAAUCUUCACCUAUAAAUUCGUGUACCAUAAUCCUUCAUACCGCUUCAAGCUUUUGAAGAUUUCUCAAAACAUUGAGGAGGUAUCAAUGGUGGAUUAUCUCUCUGGGUGAAAUUGUAAGUAAAAUUAAGAUGUCUUUCAUAUUUUAUAAUGUGUGUCUUUUUUCUGGAUUGCUAGCAAUGUUCUUACAGGUCUCCUAGGGUUUCAAUUGGCAUGGAAGGUAAGCUUAAUACAAGAAAUCGAUUUGGGGUUUGCUUUUUUCUGUAAGUUGACGUGAUUACAUAUGUUGGUUUGGGUUGUAUGAUUGAUAAUUCAUCAUGAGAAUGUAUGAUAUUGGAUUUGGGAUUUUUUUUUAAUUUUAUUGACUUGAGUGGCUUAAAUUAGGAUUAAUUGUCUUGGUAAUGCUAAAUUAAAGUAAUCUAUGGGACAAAGCUAUAAUGCACCUUCCAGAUGUUAUACGAUUUGUACAAGAGGUAUGAUCCUCUGCAUAAUGGACAUGCUAUUAUAGAUGAACUGGAUGCGCUCCUAAAAGUGAUUCUUUAAUCCAUAUAUAUCAUAGAUUGUAUGUCAUGGUCUAAAUCCAUCUUUUUAAUCAUGUUUAAAAAUGUCAUGAUUAUGGCUUGCAAAAUGGGUGGGUUGGAUGGGGUUGUACAUGUAAUGUGUCAAAAGGUACUGGUCAGGUUGGGUGGUGAGUUGUGUAAGGGUUCAAUUUGAGUUCAAAAUGGGCUGCUUUUAAAAAAUUGUCAAUUGGGUUCGGGUCAAAACGGGUUGGGUCACAGAGGGUUCACGUGCUAUAUGUACAUAUGAUCAGACCUAUGCUUUUUUGAUUUGUAUCAUUUUGUGUCUUAAUUUUUUGAUAUGCGUGGCAAAGUUUUUCAUUGUGGAAUGUGAUGGACCUAUUUUCGUUUGUUUAAUUGUUGCUCUUAUGGUUUUCUGUGAAUCAUCUUCAACAUGGUGGUUUGUUUUGGGGUUUAAAUCAAACAAGAUGGUAAUUUUGCCACACGUAUCAAUUUUAAAGCAACAUGCACAAGAUGUUUAAAGCCAUUUAAAUAGGAAGUUCUAUAAAAUUUUAAGACAUCUCGGGUUAAAAUGGAUAAAUCGUCCUCCCACGUUUAAUUCCCAGAAACCCAAUCAUCAAACUUCAAGUGUAGAAGAGGAUGACUUAAUUUCAUUCACCUCUUCACUUUCUUUCUUUAUACCUCCUAAAACUCAAAACCCUUGAUAGCAACCGGAUCAAAACAACGUACACCACACACACAAUGGCGACUACAGCGGCUGUCGUCCGAUCAAUUUCCGGUCAUCAUCCCUCCGUAGCGCAGCGGCGCGUGCAUCCUCUCAAGCCAAAGCCGCUCGCUCUCCUUUUCGUAUCGGUAGCCAGAACUCUCUCUCUAAUCGCAUCUUUAUGUAACCACCGUUUGAUUUUUUUUACCCAUGUUGAGUCUAUAUUCGGAAGCAAUUCCGUAUUUUGAUGUUGUUUGUGAUUUCAAUACAGAUGAUUACAACUUAUAUUUGAUCUGAAUCUGUAGAUAUUUAAUCGAAAUUUGUAUCUAAAUUCGCUAAUCGGUGUUCUGAUGUUUGAAAUCAGUAUUUGCGUUUGGUGCUUCGGUGACUAGCGACCACACUUUUAAUCAGGUAUUCCGACGACCCUUGAUUUUUGUUCCGGCUACUGUUACGUUUGACCGGAUAACACUAAUUUACCACUCCCACUUCAUGGCGAGAAUUUGGAUGACAAGAGCUACAAGAGUUCGAUCUUCAGUUUGGAGAGUUAGCAGUAAACGCCCAGGGGGUGAUGUUGAGAAGUGGAUUGAUGUGAUUCGGAUCGGGUUAGAGGAUAUAACGGUUAAUGAUGCGAAUAAAUCGUUUAAUGGAGUCUGUUCUAGGCUCGAGGAUAUGCUAGAUAGUUUGUCGACAUUGCUUUCGGAAAAUUCUGUGUUGAAUAAAGACGAGUUGCUUCAGUUGGCAUUUGCUGCUAUUCAGUUAGUUAAUUCGGUAUUUUGUUCCAUGAACCAAAAUCAAAAGGAACAGAGCAGGCACAUAAUGUCGAGGUGGGUUCAAGUUAACCUUUAUGGAAUUGUCCAGUACGUGAAUCUUAUUGAAGUAGCAAUCGGGUACACCAUUGCAGCAUCCAUCAACCUGAUGAUAUUGCUGCAAGAGUUGGUGCUCAUGAGAUUGAUUUUACGUAAGACACUGCAUCAAAGGUGAAGCCAAAGAACCCGAUAUAUGUGCGAUCUUAUAUACUUUCUAUAGAAGCCCUGCAAGAGACAAUCCAAGGGUAUUGUAGAUGGUAGUGCUGUAUUACAAAAUCAUAAGUCAUCGACUCUCAACCUCUAAAGCUGUGGAAGAAGCCAUCGACUCUCAACCUGUAAACAAGAUCCAAUUGCAGGGGAAGAAUGAACCAACACCGACAUUUUUCAGCAAGAUAUGAUAUUUUAACUCAUCCAAUGAAGAAACUCUUAAGAGACUUGUGAAUAAGCUUAAAAAAUCACCUCAAGAGGUUUUUGAUUCAUUGAAAAAUCAAACAGUUGAUUUAGUGUUCACUGCUCAUCCAACUCAGGCUAUUAGGAGAUCUUUGCUUCAAAAACAUGGAAGACAAGAAACUACUAAGGGGAAGGGCGACUACAUGGGCAUGCAUUAGCGGCAGAAGAUUUCGUGAAUUAUUGAAUAAAACCGGAAGCUUUAUAAAACCCCUUUAAGUUUUUUUCUGUAAUGUAUGUUUUUAGACUUGGCAUACAUGUUUGUUCUUAAACACAUUCCGCAAACAAAGUUUCCUGUGCUAUGCACGCCUUAAAUUUUGUGUGGCCGGCUUAUGGUACAAGCUCUUAUGACGUUUUGUAUGGCU